rnacentral:rRNA from 1 species
AUUAGGUUUUGCAACGAAUGUUUUAGUUCAGUACAUGAUGAAUAAUGCAGGACAAUGCAGUAUGCAUUGUGAAUUGCAGAAUUCCGUGAGCUAACAUAUGUUUGAAUGUUACUUGCGCCUUUGGGAUAUUCUUGAAGGUUUGCUUGGUUCAAUGCCAAGU